ACCUUGUGUUGCAUUGGCAUAUUUACAUCCCUCUUUAUGGGAGAAAGAGGUGUGCGGGUUGUAAUGAAAUCUGCUCAGUUCUACUUGUAUAUUUAAAGGAGUUGAUAUUUAUCAUUGUGCCCAUCAAGUCUGGCACAACUUCUAUGGUAUGCAAAGUAUACUUAAAGAAGCAGAGUGAGCUAUAAACAUACCAUCAGCACAUUAAACUUGCUAACAGAAACGAAAAAUUGUUAGCAAGGACUAUGUUUCCAACUCAGAAGUCAUAGGCUAGUUUUUAUUACUUAGGCAUGAAAAGCAUAUUCAAGGACUUCUAUCCUCUGUGUUUCUCAGUGUUCACAAAGAACAGCAAUCUCUAGUUCAAAAUUGGUCCAGCAUGUGGUCAUGCAAGGAAGAUGUAUAAAUGUUUGCAGUCAAAAGAAUAUUCCUGCAAUCUGCUCUGUAUUUGUUAGAUGAGGAAAAGGCACGUCAGGAGUCAGGACCCAUCAUAUUACCUGAAAAAUGGAAACUUGGGAGGCUCUGAGUGAGCUUUACAGAGACUAUAAAGGGGAUGAAAUGUUGGUAGCUGCUAUGAAAUGCCCGGAGGAAAAAACAAUUGAUAAACUCAAUGCAGUAUGUAUAUUUAUCCAGCACUUUGUAUCUUUUCCAUACAUAUUCCUGCAGGGUGUGCUUUCUGUCACUGUUUUGCAUUUGUCAUUGUUUAGUUCUCUGAUACUGUUCCUCAUCUAACCAAUUAGCAUUGGUACCACUGUCUGAACCCUUAUCGGUGUAGCUGGCUGGAUAACCACCGUUGAUAACAGAACCUUUUUUAACCUAAAUUAUUAUCUAAAUUAUCUUUUUGUCAGGCCGCAGGCGCAUUAUUCCCCUGGAGCCAUGAGUGCAUCCUUCACAUCUACAGCAAUGACUCCUGAGAAUUCCCAUAAAGCCAUUUCAUUUCCGAUGUUGUACCUAUCUAAACAGGAAGCACGCAGUCUUUGGGAGGUGAGUUUCUAUGCGUAACUAAGCAACAAGAAAGGAGAAGCAGGAAACCGGUCGAUCCUUGGUGCUUGAUGGAAUAACCCCGGGCUGGUGCAGUUUUCUCCUGAUAGGUGCAUCUGCCUGGGGUGUCAAGAAACGUUCUGCCGAAGAUGAUGAAUCAGGUACAUCUACUGGCAAAAAGGAAAGAGUGACACAUGACUUUAAAGAUUUUAGCUCUUGGUAGAGGCAAAGUGCUCCAUAUUUGCUAUACACAAACUCUUGGACUUAAGGUGACUUCUCUGUCUAAUUGUAGAUUGGCCGUCCAAUAGCUGAACUUGUUUGGGAAGAUAUGUAUCUGAACAUUCUUGGGAUGCUUACAUUGGAACAUCAGGAUAUAAUGGUAGAGGGCUAAAGACUGAAUAUUUUUCGGAUAGAGAAGACCAGAGCAAUAAAGAGUAGCUUUAUUAAGAGAUCAGGCAUUUUCAGAAAAAUAGGGAACAAGGACAACAAAUUUUAUGUCAAAUGAUUUAUGAAGUAGUCAGUGCAAGAAUGGCAUAAUAUGAUAAAGGUCAUCCGGGGUAGCCAGUCAUUAAAUGGCCAGUCAUAGAAGGGCAGUGACCUGGCAUGGAUUGAUAAAAGCUGUGAAAAAAGCAAUAGAAAUGAGGUCACAAGAAGAUUUCCGCAAUGGGUAAAAAAUAAUAUGCAAUAGCGUUAUUGACCAACAUAGAAACUUGAUUAGUACUAUCACCUGUCACUCUGAGGUGACUCUCGGGUUAGGCUUAUUUUUACUCAACAUAUAAAGACAUUUAAGCAACAGCAUUAAAACUAUGUCUCAAGUUUUGAAAA